CUCAGCAGUUCUUGGAAAUGUGGUUGGAGGACCCUCAGCUCUACCAAACUCUUCCAGUGGAUCUGUGAGAUCUUCCCUUUUCCAAGUACAUAACUAUGUGAAGCCAGCUUUUCUUCAUCAUACCUCAGUCAAAAUACCACAGCAGAUCGAAUGCAGAAGACGCUAUGAGAACACAGCUGCCUUCUAUUAAGUUAGACCUUGAAGAGAAUAAAACAAUGCCACUCUUUGCAAUUUCUUUUUUUUUGUUUUGGAGAAGUCAUGAUUCAAAACAUUUCAUUUUAUGUUAACAUGUAAUAGGUUUGCUACCGGCUUAUUUUUAAUGAGUUAAGUAUGUUAAAUAUUACUUAGCUUUAAUUCCUAAUACAGUAAGUGUGGAUAGAUAUCGUACAUAAAACAAUGUUCUUUGGGGUCCUAAACAAUUUAGGGACUUCAAAAGCUUCUAAGAGUAAAGGGUCCCAAAACCAAAAAGUUUAAUCACCACCACAAUAGAUUAUGUCGUCUUCAUCUAAAAACCUUGCAUAGAAACAGCUACAUUUUUCUUUAAUUUGCCACCUAGACUUGGCUGAUUAUAAGACAGAAGUUGCUUUAGAGACA
rnacentral:lncRNA from 1 species